GACGAACGCUGGCGGCGUGCUUAAUACAUGCAAGUCGAGCGAGGUCCAUCUGGUGGCAACACCAGUGAAGGCCGAGCGGCGAACGGGUGAGUAACACGUGAGCAACCUGCCCCGAAGUCUGGAAUAACAUCGGGAAACCGGUGCUAAUACCGGAUCGCCCCACCUGACCGCAUGAUCGGGUGAGGAAAGAUUUAUCGCUUCGGGAGGGGCUCGCGGCCUAUCAGCAGUUGGUGGGGUAACGGCCUACCAAGGCACCGACGGGUAGCUGGUCUGAGAGGACGACCAGCCACACUGGGACUGAGACACGGCCCAGACUCCUACGGGAGGCAGCAGUAGGGAAUCUUGCGCAAUGGGCGAAAGCCUGACGCAGCAACGCCGCGUGGGGGAUGACGGCC
rnacentral:rRNA from 1 species